rnacentral:rRNA from 1 species
CUUUACUGUAGCUUGGUAUUGGGUUCGGGCUUUGACUGCGCAGGAUAGGUGGGAGACUGAGAAGUGUGCCUUGUGGGGCACAUAAAGUCAACGGUGAGAUACCACUCUGUCAGAGCUAGAAUUCUAACCUUCACCCGUGAUCCGGGGAAGGAACCGUAUCAGGUGGGCAGUUUGACUGGGGCGGUCGCCUCCUAAAAGGUAACGGAGGCGCGCAAAGGUGUUCUCAGGCUGGUUGGAAAUCAGCCGUAGAGUGUAAAGGCAGAAGAACGCUUGACUGUGAGAGUGACAACUCAAGCAGGGUGGAAACACGGCCUUAGUGAUCCGACGGUAUGCGCGUGGAAGUGCCGUCGCUCAACGGAUAAAAGUUA